rnacentral:snRNA from 1 species
AUCGCUUCUUGGCCUUUUGGCUAAGAUCAAGUGUAGUAUCUGUUCUUAUCAGUUUAAUAAAAAUAUGACCAUCCAUAGCAUACGACAGAGUACAACUAGAUGAAAGAUAUGGACUAGUGGUUCUCAACCCUGGCUAAAUGCAGAAUCAUUUGGGGAUCAUUU